GAUGAACGCUGGCGGCGUGCUUAACACAUGCAAGUCGAACGGAAAGGCUCCUGCUUGCAGGGGUACUCGAGUGGCGAACGGGUGAGUAACACGUGGGUGAUCUGCCCUGCACUUCGGGAUAAGCCUGGGAAACUGGGUCUAAUACCGGAUAGGACCACAUUUUGGAUGGUGUGGUGGAAAGGUUUUCGGUGUGGGAUGAGCUCGCGGCCUAUCAGCUUGUUGGUGGGGUAAUGGCCUACCAAGGCGUCGACGGGUAGCCGGCCUGAGAGGGUGUACGGCCACAUUGGGACUGAGAUACGGCCCAGACUCCUACGGGAGGCAGCAGUGGGGAAUAGUGCACAAUGGGCGCAAGCCUGAUGCAGCGACGCCGCGUGGGGGAUGACGGCCUUCGGGUUGUAAACUCCUUUCGCUAGGGACGAAGCGAAAGUGACGGUACCUGGAGAAGAAGCACCGGCUAGCUACGUG
rnacentral:rRNA from 1 species